UACAGAGGUCUCGAGCGUUGUUCGGAUUCAUUGGGCGUAAAGGGUGCGUAGGCGGCGGGGUAAGUCUGAUGUGAAAUCCCGGGGCUCAACCCUGGAACUGCAUUGGAUACUGCCUUGCUUGAGAGCUGGAGAGGAAACUGGAAUUUACGGUGUAGCAGUGAAAUGCGUAGAGAUCGUAAGGAAGACCAGUGGCGAAGGCGGGUCUCUGGACAGUUCCUGACGCUGAGGCACGAAGGUCAGGGGAGCAAACGGG
rnacentral:rRNA from 1 species